CGGCCAGGGACUUGGCAACGAUCGACUAGAGUCUAGAGGACAAAGAUGGCAGAUUUUCCGUGAGAAACAUUUAUAAUUAACUGCAUGCAUGAUACUGUAUAUUUUCAGGAAUCUUGCCAACGGCAGCUGUAGUUCAUGGGGUGUGAGAUGUGAUGUACAUGUUUUGGGCGCCUCGCAAGUUCCAGACCCAAAUACAACACAUGCAAUAUCUCUCAAAAGAUAUUUCAAUACUGCACGUAGCUAUAACUAACAAUUAUUACAAGCUUGUGGGGGGGUACAGACAUUCUGUCUGUAGGAAUUGAAAUGUUUUCCGCACUUCAUUUUUGAACAAAGAAAAUUAAAAACAAAAUACU